UCUUACUUGCAAGAGCUCAAGUGAGCUCCCUUCGCCAGGCUAUUUCUUCGCCGACCGGCCACUAGGCUCUGAACCGAGAACGUGUACUCGUUCCUCCAUCUUCAGGCUACCAAACCCAACAAUCGAAAGGCCGAAGCCUUCUCUAUAUUUUCCUGACCAAAGGCCGCAAUAUCCUUCGGAGGCCAACGUCGAAUUCCCGACUUAGCCACCGGCCAACUUACGGCUUUCGUUUCUCACUAUCCUUACGACGAAAAAGGAUUGAGAAAACACCGUUGUGUAGCCUGAUCUACCUCGCACGAGGAAGACUAAGUCGUAGACCUUCGCGGCUAAACACCAUCGCGGAACGACGACCAGAAAACCCCCGACGAACAACUUCCAUUAGUGCUCACUUGGACAAGGGUUCAAAUAAACAAAAGCGUCUGAGUAACCUAUCGCGCUAAGGAAAGAGAAUCAUUGUCUUAAGUAGCAAAACACUGCAAUCAGGUGGGCAUUACUUUUACUAUACGUAUAUAGAGAUCCCCUACGUAUCGUAGGCCUCUUAUACGAAUGAAUGCAUGAGAUGAUCUAACUGUUAAUUUCAGUUUCAUAUAUAUCAAAUGAGUUUAAAUGUUACAUUCAAGCAAGUUAUUUCAUGACAAAAUCUUUGAGUUAAAGUUAUUUCAAGUAUUGUCUUGCCAUAAAAUGUUUCAAUUUUAGUAUGAUAUCUAUCUGCUUUGGCUUUGCCAAUGAUGCAAUCGAAUUCGGGUCCUGAGCAGUUGAUAGCUAUCCUGCCAGGACUAGUGUACACCAGUGACCGUGAGUCAUCUAGCGGGUUGGCCGGUCAAGUGACCGUGAGAGGUGGCCACCUCUCCGGCACACAGUUCCAGAUAUGAUAGAUUACAAGAGAACUUAGACUGCAGUCGAACUUUAAGAAUCACAAAUGAAUUUGGUAAGCUUGGGCCUUUUUAGCGAAAAACUCCCUUGCUGUACUGUUUAUGAUGGCAUGACAAUUUACAGUUUUGAAGCAUGUAUUUUUAUACCUAGGCAUACGUGCCACUGAGUGCUUUUGUACUCAGCCCUGCAUAUGUUUUCUAAAUGUGCAGGUUGAGCUGAUGUGAUGAUGGUGCUGCAAUGAGCGGAGUCUCCAGGGUUGUUAAUAAAUAGUUAACCUGUCUAGAAUAUGUCUUCAUACAUAUGUCUAGCUACUUUCCGCUGCAAGAUGUUGUUGAUGUUAUAGUAUGUUAUGUCAUACUUUGAGUCUUAAGAGAAUGGUUUCAUAUGAUGUAUAACUUGAUUAAUGAUAUUAAUUAAGUUUUAUGCUGUCUUUCAUAGACUAUUUUCAA